UAGGGAAUCUUCGGCAAUGGGGGCAACCCUGACCGAGCAACGCCGCGUGAGUGAAGAAGGUUUUCGGAUCGUAAAGCUCUGUUGUAAGAGAAGAACGUGUGUGAGAGUGGAAAGUUCACACAGUGACGGUAACUUACCAGAAAGGGACGGCUAACUACGUGCCAGCAGCCGCGGUAAUACGUAGGUCCCGAGCGUUGUCCGGAUUUAUUGGGCGUAAAGCGAGCGCAGGCGGUUUAAUAAGUCUGAAGUUAAAGGCAGUGGCUUAACCAGUGUUCGCUUUGGAAACUGUUAAACUUGAGUGCAGAAGGGGAGAGUGGAAUUCCAUGUGUAGCGGGGAAAUGCGUAGAUAUAUGGGGGAACACCGGUGGCGAAAGCGGCUCUCUGGUCUGUAACUGACGCUGAGGCUCGAAAGCGUGGGGAGCAAACAGG
rnacentral:rRNA from 1 species